AAACGUAGGGGGCUAGCGUUGCCCGGAUUCACUGGGCGUAAAGCGCGCGUAGGCGGUUCGGCAAGUCGCCCGUGAAAGCCCCUGGCUCAACUGGGGGAGGUCGGGCGAUACUGCCGGGCUAGAGGGCGGCAGAGGGAGGUGGAACGGCCGGAGUAGCGGUGAAAUGCGUAGAUACCGGCCGGAAUCCCGAUGGCGAAGGCAACCUCCUGGGCCGUUCCUGACGCUGAGGCGCGAAAGCUGGGGGAGCGAACCGGAUUAGAAACCCUAGUAGUCC
rnacentral:rRNA from 1 species